rnacentral:rRNA from 1 species
UUAAGUUAUUAAGGGCGCACGGUGGAUGCCUUGGCACUAGAAGCCGAUGAAGGACGUUACUAACGACGAUAUGCUUUGGGGAGCUGUAAGUAAGCUUUGAUCCAGAGAUUUCCGAAUGGGGAAACCCAGCAUGAGUUAUGUCAUGUUAUCGAUAUGUGAAUACAUAGCAUAUCAGAAGGCACACCCGGAGAACUGAAACAUCUUAGUACCCGGAGGAAGAGAAAGAAAAUUCGAUUCCCUUAGUAGCGGCGAGCGAAACGGGAAGAGCCCAAACCAACAAGCUUGCUUGUUGGGGUUGUAGGACACUCUAUACGGAGUUACAAAGGACGACAUUAGACGAAUCAUCUGGAAAGAUGAAUCAAAGAAGGUAAUAAUCCUGUAGUCGAAAAUGUUGUCUCUCUUGAGUGGAUCCUGAGUACGACGGAGCACGUGAAAUUCCGUCGGAAUCUGGGAGGACCAUCUCCUAAGGCUAAAUACUCUCUAGUGACCGAUAGUGAACCAGUACCGUGAGGGAAAGGUGAAAAGCACCCCGGAAGGGGAGUGAAAUAGAACCUGAAACCGUGUGCUUACAAGUAGUCAGAGCCCGUUAAUGGGUGAUGGCGUGCCUUUUGUAGAAUGAACCGGCGAGUUACGAUUUGAUGCAAGGUUAAGCAGUAAAUGUGGAGCCGUAGCGAAAGCGAGUCUGAAUAGGGCGUUUAGUAUUUGGUCGUAGACCCGAAACCAGGUGAUCUACCCUUGGUCAGGUUGAAGUUCAGGUAACACUGAAUGGAGGACCGAACCGACUUACGUUGAAAAGUGAGCGGAUGAACUGAGGGUAGCGGAGAAAUUCCAAUCGAACCUGGAGAUAGCUGGUUCUCUCCGAAAUAGCUUUAGGGCUAGCCUCAAGUGAUGAUUAUUGGAGGUAGAGCACUGUUUGGACGAGGGGCCCCUCUCGGGUUACCGAAUUCAGACAAACUCCGAAUGCCAAUUAAUUUAACUUGGGAGUCAGAACAUGGGUGAUAAGGUCCGUGUUCGAAAGGGAAACAGCCCAGACCACCAGCUAAGGUCCCAAAAUAUAUGUUAAGUGGAAAAGGAUGUGGCGUUGCCCAGACAACUAGGAUGUUGGCUUAGAAGCAGCCAUCAUUUAAAGAGUGCGUAAUAGCUCACUAGUCGAGUGACACUGCGCCGAAAAUGUACCGGGGCUAAACAUAUUACCGAAGCUGUGGAUUGUCCUUUGGACAAUGGUAGGAGAGCGUUCUAAGGGCGUUGAAGCAUGAUCGUAAGGACAUGUGGAGCGCUUAGAAGUGAGAAUGCCGGUGUGAGUAGCGAAAGACGGGUGAGAAUCCCGUCCACCGAUUGACUAAGGUUUCCAGAGGAAGGCUCGUCCGCUCUGGGUUAGUCGGGUCCUAAGCUGAGGCCGACAGGCGUAGGCGAUGGAUAACAGGUUGAUAUUCCUGUACCACCUAUAAUCGUUUUAAUCGAUGGGGGGACGCAGUAGGAUAGGCGAAGCGUGCGAUUGGAUUGCACGUCUAAGCAGUAAGGCUGAGUAUUAGGCAAAUCCGGUACUCGNNNNCUCGUUAAGGAACUCGGCAAAAUGACCCCGUAACUUCGGGAGAAGGGGUGCUCUUUAGGGUUAACGCCCAGAAGAGCCGCAGUGAAUAGGCCCAAGCGACUGUUUAUCAAAAACACAGGUCUCUGCUAAACCGUAAGGUGAUGUAUAGGGGCUGACGCCUGCCCGGUGCUGGAAGGUUAAGAGGAGUGGUUAGCUUCUGCGAAGCUACGAAUCGAAGCCCCAGUAAACGGCGGCCGUAACUAUAACGGUCCUAAGGUAGCGAAAUUCCUUGUCGGGUAAGUUCCGACCCGCACGAAAGGCGUAACGAUUUGGGCACUGUCUCAACGAGAGACUCGGUGAAAUCAUAGUACCUGUGAAGAUGCAGGUUACCCGCGACAGGACGGAAAGACCCCGUGGAGCUUUACUGUAGCCUGAUAUUGAAAUUCGGCACAGCUUGUACAGGAUAGGUAGGAGCCUUUGAAACGUGAGCGCUAGCUUACGUGGAGGCGCUGGUGGGAUACUACCCUAGCUGUGUUGGCUUUCUAACCCGCACCACUUAUCGUGGUGGGAGACAGUGUCAGGCGGGCAGUUUGACUGGGGCGGUCGCCUCCUAAAAGGUAACGGAGGCGCUCAAAGGUUCCCUCAGAAUGGUUGGAAAUCAUUCAUAGAGUGUAAAGGCAUAAGGGAGCUUGACUGCGAGACCUACAAGUCGAGCAGGGUCGAAAGACGGACUUAGUGAUCCGGUGGUUCCGCAUGGAAGGGCCAUCGCUCAACGGAUAAAAGCUACCCCGGGGAUAACAGGCUUAUCUCCCCCAAGAGUUCACAUCGACGGGGAGGUUUGGCACCUCGAUGUCGGCUCAUCGCAUCCUGGGGCUGUAGUCGGUCCCAAGGGUUGGGCUGUUCGCCCAUUAAAGCGGUACGCGAGCUGGGUUCAGAACGUCGUGAGACAGUUCGGUCCCUAUCCGUCGUGGGCGUAGGAAAUUUGAGAGGAGCUGUCCUUAGUACGAGAGGACCGGGAUGGACAUACCUCUGGUGUACCAGUUGUCGUGCCAACGGCAUAGCUGGGUAGCUAUGUGUGGACGGGAUAAGUGCUGAAAGCAUCUAAGCAUGAAGCCCCCCUCAAGAUGAGAUUUCCCAACUUCGGUUAUAAGAUCCCUCAAAGAUGAUGAGGUUAAUAGGUUCGAGGUGGAAGCAUGGUGACAUGUGGAGCUGACGAAUACUAAUCGAUCGAAGACUUAAUCAA